rnacentral:lncRNA from 1 species
AUAGUCUACGACAUGGAAUGGACAGAUCGCGAUUUAACCACGUUAAACGUGUAACUCGAAAGUAAGCAAGGAGGCGCCCGUAUUAUAAACGCACACAGUGUUCUCGCGCUAGAAAAUCAAAUAUUUUUCGCAAAACCACGAAAACAACUCGACAACCUAAACAAAAUUCGACAUUCUUGUGCAGUAGUGAUUCAAGGGUAGAAUCGACGGUUUAUUUAGUACUGGUAACGGCGAUUUACCGUUAAUCUUUUCAUUCAUUUGAUUUUUUUGUACUUUUUUAUUGUGAUUCACAGUCUUCGAAUAUACAAGGAAAAAGCUGUAACCAGAGAAAGACGCAACUUUGUGACGAUGAGGGCUUUAAUUGACUGGAAUGCUCUUCCAGAAAGAGUGGUUACUGCCCCAACCCUUAGCGAAUUUAAGAAAGAAAUCGACCAGCUUUGGGCAACGUCUCGUUCAAGCAAUGAAUUAGCUUGCCUGAUGCAUCGUCAAAAUCAGCCACAAAGUUGAAAAACAUCCAAACGAAGGAAUAUCGCGGAGAGAAAGUAAAAGUGAAAGCGAGGAAGUCGCAGGCCCUUUGCAAGGGGCCUCUUUCCAUGGACAGCUUCAACUUCAACUUCAACUUCAACUUGAUUAGGAUUAUGAAUGAGUUUGCGGAUUGGCGUUUUUUUAUCGCGAAUUUGUGAGCUUAAAAAGUGAUAUGGCCCAGCGCGAUUCGCUGCGGCUACUGCCAAAAGGCGAUAUCAAAAUCGUAACUGUCUAGACACCGGAGAAGGCCAAGAUUACUUUACCGAGAAGGCUGCAUCCGUGGCUGCCUACGACCCGGCCCGGCCGGCACCGCAAAAGCGAAGGACAACCGGCUGAUGGUAUCCUUCGCCAGUGGAGCUGCUGCUUCUGGAGCUGCUGCUUCUGGAGCUGCUGCUUCUGCUGCCCCAGUUAUAGCGAGAGACGCCAGCACCCUGGACCAGCCGCUGGCUGCUGUCGCCUACAUGGAAGUGACCACGACACCGACAGGGGCCGGUUCGGUGCAGGCACACCAGCUUGCCCCGACACUGACGAGUGACGGUGGUUUUCCCGUCACCCCUGAUGCCGGCGAGGGGCCAGCCAGACCCGUCGAUGCGGCGACCGCGGUACCAGCUGACGCUGUCGAGCAAGAGCGCGCACAUUUCACUGGUACUGCAUCGCAGUGUCGCCACCAUGCACGGAGGACGCCAGAGGACGGCCCGUCAGUCUUCACGGCCCGCGCGCUGGGCCGGCACGGGUCACACGCUCGGUGAAGUAGCUGGCCUGCGCACGCAGCUCGACAUCAUCUGUGGUGUCAUCCCAGCCUUUCUUCAGAUCAUUCACUCGCCGCUUCAGCCACGCCGCCGCCGGCCGCAGUCAUCCGGCCACGGAGGAGAUAAAGUGAUAGGCCGACCACACCACAAGAACAGUGCUCUCCGUGUAAAUAUCACGACCGGAAGUGCGCGAGCUACUGACUGGGAGACGGCGCUCGCGCUGACGCUGUUUCCUCGACGUUUAUGCAGCUCCUGGCGAGGUGACCGGUCUUGCUGCAGGUCUAAUAACGCCGUGCCCGGUCCGCCGUGGACCGUGGCGACCCGCUGGUCUGACAAACCCGCCGGUGUAACUAAUGUGUAACUAACCAAGGUAUGAAUGUAUAGGUACUGAAGAAAAAAAAAACAAAAAAAAAACGUAGUGUCUAGUCAAAGCUAUUUUUAGCUUUGAUUUCUUUCCGCCCCUUGUAUGCAUGACUCAUAACACUACUUGCAUCUGUAUUUGGCUGCACAGGUUUUUUCGCUUCUUUUUGUUAUUUUCCUUUUCUUAGCAGGGAGUGUCACGACUUGCAUAUUUUUGUUUUUGGUGUUAACGUAUGGUUCUAUGGUCGUGCGGGACCGUGGGUGGACACUCCUGGUCGUCUGUUCAUGGGCGGCGGACUAUUUCGUAGAUUAGUUAAAAAAAAAGUGUCUUGGCGUCUCGCACCCACUGCUGCCGAGAACACGUUCGUCACUCAACACUGCCCGCGCCAGGAUGCUGGCCAGAUCCAGGCCUUCUGCGCGCGUGUCGGCUCGAAUUGUGCUGCUAACGGCGUCUGGUAGCCCGGCGAUGAAAGCACUGGCGAUGAAAGCACCUACCCGAAUGCAAGCCGAAUGCAGCAAAAGAUGCUCCUCCAAGUGUGGAAACCGAGCGUCGUGCGCGCUCCAAAUUUUAAUACAACCAAUUUUUGCAGGCUUUUGACUUUGAAAAUUUCACCGGCGCAGUUCGCACAGUUUCGGAGCAAUAACCCGCCAACAGAGACAGACUCACA